GCUCGUUGUUUCCGCCUCCAACGGCAAGAAUUAAGGAGGAUUUCCUGCCACUCCUGCGUACCCCAGGCUAGCCACCUUGGUCGAGAAGGGGAAGAGGAUGGGAAGGGUUAGGAGCAAGCUCAGUUUUAUCUGACCGUCCCUGUUGCCCUGCCUCUCUUACAGUUCUGACUUCUGAGAAUCCUAAACCCGGAAUGCCCUAGACCUUGGCUCCCUGUCUUGACGGCGUGAUGGCAGGAUCAAUACUUCUCAAUUCUGCCACCUUUCAAGGAAAAUGCAGUCCUUUUUCAAAAGACCUCCCGUUACAGCUCAUCAGAAAAAAAUGUCUGGAGUUUCAAAUACCAGGGAUUCCAGCGGUCACAGUUUUGAAGUUUUCAGUGCAAGGAGAGGAAGCCAUGGCUUCUAAUAGAGCUUCAUUUGGAGGAAGUGGGGACCAUCCAGCCUCAGAAUCUGAGAAGUCAUCUGACAGGAAGGCAUGCUUCAGUGCUGUUACUCUGCCACAGGCAAUAGGGAGCCUCUGAAGACUGGUGAACACAGGAUUAACAGUAUUGAGAAUAUGGACUGAUAGUAAAAUUAACAAAAUUUGGUUAUGAAGGAGUGAAAGGAGAGCAAUGAAUUGAGGAUGACCACGAUGGAACCCUUGACAUUAUUUAGCAUUCACUCUUCUUUUAAUUCAGUCUCUGAUAGCCGUCCAUGAUGUCAAAGACUUAAGUCCCGCUUGCUCAUCCUUCAAGACUGCUAUUGAACGCCCAUCACCUUGAUGAAGUUUUCUUUCAUUACUCUAGCCCAGAGCAAUCGUUCCAUUCAAUAAGCAUUUGAAGAAGUCAUUUAACUCCUCUAGACUUCAGUUUGUUCACUUAUAAAAUGAAGAGAUUGUCCCUUCUUUUUCUAGAUCUGUGGUCCUAUUGCAAGAGUCCAUAUACCAUGCAGUUUUACACUUAAUUAUCAUUUAAUUAUGUCACAUAUUUUUUUAUCUCCCAAUUAGAUUGAAAAUAAUAAAAAUAAUUGUUAUUUCAAAGACUGGGUCUCCAUAUAUCUCCCAGGAUGGAAGAGGAAUGAUCACUGAUAACCCCUCAAGCCAGCAGCCAGAUUCCAAUAUGGAUCAACAUGGGAGUUUUGACCUUUUCUGUUUCCUACCUAGUCUUUUUUUUUUUUUAAUUCUUACCUUCUGUCUUAGAAUCAAUAUUGUGUAUUGGUUCCAAGGCAGAAGAGUGAUAAGAGCUACGCAAUGAGGGUUAAGUGACUUGCCCAGGGUCACACAGCUGGGAAAUAUAUGAGGCCAGAUUUGAACCCAGGACCUCUCGUCUUUAGGCCUGGCUCUCAAUCCACUGAGCUACCCAGCUGCACCCCCCACCUAGUAUUCUUUUUACUCCUUCCCCCAGCCUUUACAACCACUAUAUUUAAUGCAGAUUUUAGUGUGGGUAUCUAGUCAGCAUGACAAAACUUAGAACUCCCAAGCCCAAGAGAUGUGCGAACUUCAGAUUCCCCCUAGCUGAGAUUACAGAUGCUGGACUCCAUUGUAAAUUCACAAUCUACUUUUGUGUAUAUCAUAGCACUUAGUGCUGAGCUGCUCACUAAAUACUCAAUGACUGAUGGAAGGAAAAUGUAUAAAAGUGAAAUUUCAUGAAGAUGCUUGUGAUUCUUCCAUUAACUCUAAAAUUGUUUGUGAUUUGUUCAUCUUUCCAGAUUCUGACAAAUUAAUAUUAAUGGUAGCCCUAAGGUUAGCCCAGAAGAGUCCAUGCUUAUUCUUCUCCUUGGGCCAUUCCAGAUAGGUUCUUUGUGCCAUGAGAGUUUUUAGCUUAUGAUACUUGCUAGGAAUGCUGUACUGUGGAAUUGGUUCUAGUAAUAUGAGAAUUAAAUUAUUAGAACCUUCAUGAAAUACUUUGUGGUGAGCAAAGUAAAGUUCAUAAUGGCACCACUCACUCUGAACAAAGUUAGGGGACAAAACAAAGAUAGAUUUGUAGCAUUUCUCAAUGCAAUUUAUAAUAUUUUCAAUGAUACUCUUGCCAGGAACAAAGUGUCUCUCAUGGAGACAAAUUGAUAUAGACCUAUCUUCUUUCUCCAGGUUUGGUAUCAGCUCACUUUUUACCCAGAGAGAAUCCAUUUCACUGUAUGAAAUAAAAGCAUGAAAUUGAAUUGUUCUUUUGAGUUCUUCUAUGGGCACAUUCCUAACUCGGUGCCGGUUCUGAGUCCACUGACUUAUCAUCCUCAAGUACCACGGCAAAUCAAAGCGAAUGCAGAGAAUUGCUAUGACAACUGUCCAAAGUAACCCGAUUAUCAGAAUGACAGCAAUCAAUAGAGGUGUAUUACAGGAUAAUGCUGGCAGAUCGACAUUCUCCAGAUGAAUUCCCUUUAGUUCUAGAGGAUAUUCACAGGUAUAUGCAUCUGGCCACCCAAUCAUCAAGCCCUGGGAUUUUUUUUCUAGGUUGAUGAAGUUUCUUAAAUCACAAUUACAUCUGAAUGGAUUGUCUCCUGCUUUUAAUGACUGCACUUCCUGACAAGACUGGAAGAAAUCAAGAGAUGGGCUAAUAAUGGAAUUCAUUUCAACAUUCAGUGCAGAAAGCCUUUGGAAAUUACGACACCCAGGAAGAUCAGUUAGAGAAUUGGAUGCAAUAUUUAGCUCCUGUAAUGCUUUCAGAUUCUCAAUUUCUCUGGGGAUCGUUCUAAUAUCAUUAUUAUGCAGAUCAAGGACUUGGAUGCUUUUUGGUAUGCAUUUGAAAAUAGAGUCAAUAAAUUUAUUGGAUGACAAA